rnacentral:rRNA from 1 species
AUUUAUUAGAUUAAAAACCAAUGGCACUUGUGUCUUUUGKGUUGACUCAUAAUAACUGUUCGGACCUCAUGGCUUUACGCCGGAGGCAGUUCAAUCAAAUUUCUGCCCUAUCAGCUCUCGACGGUAGUGUAGUGGACUACCGUGGCGGUAACGGGUGACGGAGAAUUAGGGUUCGAUUCCGGAGAGGGAGCCUGAGAAACGGCUACCACAUCCAAGGAAGGCAGCAGGCGCGCAAAUUACCCAAUCCCGACACGGGGAGGUAGUGACAAGAAAUAACAAUGCCGGGCCUUUUCAGGUCUGGCAAUUGGAAUGAGUACAAUUUAAACACCUUAACGAGGAUCCACUGGAGGGCAAGUCUGGUGCCAGCAGCCGCGGUAAUUCCAGCUCCRGUAGCGUAUAUUAAAGUUGUUGCAGUUAAAAAGCUCGUCGUUGGAUUUCUGGUUUAAGCCGCCUAACCGGCCAACGUUAGUUGAUUGCCAGUGUUGGGAUCGUUGCUUUACCAUCCGCUCAUCUUUUGGAAGCUGUACUCUUCAUUGAGCCGCAGUUAUUUUCCGGUUGAGCCAUUUACUUUGCUUA